GCUAUGUCUGGUCCAGGCAGGCUGCCAUGCUGGCCUGAAGCAUCUGCCAGCCCAGAGCUCAGAGGGGCUACACAGAGUCUGCCCUUUUUCCAGGUCUUCUCUGCAAGAACCAUGGGGAUUAUUUCAGACUCUCUGGGCAACAGUUUAGAGGUCCUGGCCCUCCAAGGGUACUCUGCUCCCGAGGAGUGAGAUAGGGAGAUGGCACGGAGGAGAAACCUACUUGACCAAGGAACAGACUCUAAAGUCACGGUUGAAGCUGAGGAUCGUGGACAUCUCCUCAUCAGUCAAGUUAAAAUCGAAUACCUGCAAAGGAAAAUGACAUUUCUGAAUGUUGGAUGCCUUAAAAGAAGGCUUCCUAUCCACAUAGAAGGAUGCUGAAAGUGUGAUCUCUGAAGAAGUCAACUGAAAAUAAAAACCCACUCGUAAAGUCCCAUUUUUUGUGACUCUGUGCUUCAACAGAAAGCCUAGAAGGAUGGAGUUUUAAAACACUGCAAUCAGCCCAGCAGGGAUUUAACCAUCAAAUCUCUA